rnacentral:rRNA from 1 species
AGAACGAACGCUGGCGGCAGGCUUAACACAUGCAAGUCGAACGGUUGUAGCAAUACAGCAGUGGCAGACGGGUGAGUAACACGUGGGAACCUUCCUAGGGGUACGGAACAACUCAGGGAAACUUGAGCUAAUACCGUAUACGUCCGUAAGGAGAAAGAUUCAUCGCCCCUAGACGGGCCCGCGUAGGAUUAGGUAGUUGGUGAGGUAACGGCUCACCAAGCCUACGAUCCUUAGCUGAUCUGAGAGGAUGAUCAGCCACACUGGGACUGAGACACGGCCCAGACUCCUACGGGAGGCAGCAGUGGGGAAUCUUGGACAAUGGGCGCAAGCCUGAUCCAGCCAUGCCGCGUGAGUGAAGAAGGCCUUGGGUUGUAAAGCUCUUUUACCAGGGACGAUAAUGACGGUACCUGGAGAAUAAGCCCCGGCAAACUUCGUGUCAGCAGCCGC